UAGGGAAUCUUCCGCAAUGGGCGAAAGCCUGACGGAGCAACGCCGCGUGAGUGAUGAAGGUCUUCGGAUCGUAAAACUCUGUUAUUAGGGAAGAACAAAUGUGUAAGUAACUAUGCACGUCUUGACGGUACCUAAUCAGAAAGCCACGGCUAACUACGUGCCAGCAGCCGCGGUAAUACGUAGGUGGCAAGCGUUAUCCGGAAUUAUUGGGCGUAAAGCGCGCGUAGGCGGUUUUUUAAGUCUGUUGUGAAAGCCCACGGCUCAACCGUGGAGGGUCAUUGGAAACUGGAAAACUUGAGUGCAGAAGAGGAAAGUGGAAUUCCAUGUGUAGCGGUGAAAUGCGCAGAGAUAUGGAGGAACACCAGUGGCGAAGGCGGCUUUCUGGUCUGUAACUGACGCUGAUGUGCGAAAGCGUGGGGAUCAAACAGG
rnacentral:rRNA from 1 species